GGCAACCCUGACGGAGCAACGCCGCGUGUGGGAGGACGGCCUUCGGGUUGUAAACCACUUUUCUCAGGGAAGAAGUCCUGACGGUACCUGAGGAAUCAGCCUCGGCUAACUCCGUGCCAGCAGCCGCGGUAAUACGGAGGAGGCAAGCGUUAUCCGGAAUUAUUGGGCGUAAAGCGUCCGCAGGGGGCGCAUCAAGUCUGCUGUUAAAGGUCGGAGCUAAACUCCGGUAGAGCAGUGGAAACUGGUGCGCUAGAGGGCGACAGGGGUAGAGGGAAUUCCCAGUGUAGCGGUGAAAUGCGUAGAGAUCGGGAAGAACAUCGGUGGCGAAAGCGCUCUACUGGACGGCAACUGACACUCAGGGACGAAAGCUAGGGGAGCG
rnacentral:rRNA from 1 species